rnacentral:lncRNA from 1 species
UGAAUAACAAUAAGGCUUUUUUUACAUGGAAUAUGACUUAAUUUAGAGAAGAACUGCUGAUGCAGGGUGGCAGAUUCAUUAAACUGCCUGGCUGAUCAAUGUACUACCAUUUGGAAAAGCUAGACAAGGAACUAAAUAGCUUUUCAUAUUGGUUGUCAGACAUUCUUUUAAAUAUCUUGUUAUAUGUUAUGACAGAUGGAUGAGAAACAGCUUUCAGUAAUCAGAAGAUCAAGCCAGCAAUUUGAAUCUACCAGGAGGGGAAAAUCACCUAUGUACAACAGGUAUGUAAAUUUCAUCUGUCUUUUGAAGGACCAACAAUUCAUCAAGAGAAGAAGAAGUGGUUGUACAUUUUGGUACGCAGAAAUAGGAAGUAAACCUAAAAGCCGUGUGCCCUUAGGAACCAGUGGAGACUAAUAUUCCUGACAUUUGUUCCUCAAGACAUGAUUUUUCUCAGGUGAGGAGAGAAGCUAGACGGGCUGACACUUCUCCACCCGGAAACACUUGGAGAAGAGAAUAACGGCUCUACGCUAACAUUUUAUUUCAAUUUAUAAAUAAAAUGCCUUGGACUCUUAUUUAUGAUUUCUGG